rnacentral:rRNA from 1 species
UACGUAGGCAGCGAGCGUUGUUCGGAAUUACUGGGCGUAAAGAGUGUGUAGGUGGUGCUCUAAGUUCGGUGUGAAAUCUCCCGGCUUAACUGGGAGGGUGCGCCGAAGACUGGAAGGCUUGAGUAUGGGAGAGGUAAGCGGAAUUCCUGGUGUAGCGGUGAAAUGCGUAGAUAUCAGGAGGAACACCUGCGGUGUAGACGGCUUACUGGACCAUAACUGACGCUGAGGCACGAAAGCGUGGGUAGCAAACAGG